AGAGUUUGAUCCUGGCUCAGGACGAACGCUGGCGGCGUGCUUAAUACAUGCAAGUCGAGCGAGGUUACUGUUUUGGAUCCCUUCGGGGUGAAGAAGCUUUAACCUAGCGGCGGACGGGUGAGUAACGCGUGGGUAACCUACCCCAAAGUCCGGGAUAACAGCGGGAAACCGCUGCUAAUACCGGAUGCCUUUACCUUGGGGCAUCUUGAGGUAAAGAAAGGCAACGCUUUGGGAUGGGCCCGCGUCCCAUUAGCUAGUUGGUGAGGUAACGGCUCACCAAGGCGACGAUGGGUAGCCGGCCUGAGAGGGUGGACGGCCACACUGGGACUGAGACACGGCCCAGACUCCUACGGGAGGCAGCAGCAGGGAAUAUUGCGCAAUGGACGGAAGUCUGACGCAGCGACGCCGCGUGAGCGAUGAAGGUCUUCGGAUCGUAAAGCUCUGUCCUUGGGGAAGAAGGCGAAAGCUUGACGGUACCCAAGAAGAAAGCCCCGGCUAACUACGUGCCAGCAGCCGCGGUAAUACGUAGGGGGCGAGCGUUGUCCGGAAUUACUGGGCGUAAAGGGUGCGUAGGCGGCCCUUUAAGUCGGAUGUGAAAGCCCGCGGCUUAACCGCGGAAUGGCAUUCGAAACUGGAGGGCUUGAGUGUCGGAGAGGGUAGUGGAAUUCCCAGUGUAGCGGUGAAAUGCGUAGAUAUUGGGAGGAACACCAGUGGCGAAGGCGACUACCUGGACGAUAACUGACGCUGAGGCACGAAAGCUAGGGGAGCAAACAGGAUUAGAUACCCUGUAGUCCUAGCCGUAAACGAUGGGUACUAGGUGUGGGGUGGUUUCGAUACCAUCCGUGCCGUAGUUAACGCAUUAAGGUACCAAUCCCGCGGCCAUGGCGGCCGGGAGCAUGCGACGUCGGGCCCAAU
rnacentral:rRNA from 1 species